CCAGUCACUCGCCCUGAUUGGGCUCCCAAGUACAUCAUAGGACCUACAGUUGCGCUUGUCCUAUUGCUGCUGGUGGGGCUGGUCGGCGUCAUAGCUUGGAGUAAGAUGCGGCGCAAACGCCAGGGAAUGAGCAGCAAUGCGCCAGCCGAUGAACAUGGGAAAAGUACCGCAGGUG